UACGUAGGGGGCAAGCGUUAUCCGGAUUCACUGGGUGUAAAGGGAGCGUAGACGGCGACGCAAGUCUGGAGUGAAAGCCCGGGGCCCAACCCCGGGACUGCUCUGGAAACUGCGUCGCUGGAGUACGGGAGGGGCAGGCGGAAUCCCUGGUGUAGCGGUGAAAUGCGUAGAUAUCAGGAGGAACACCGGCGGCGAAGGCGGCCUGCUGGACCGUGACUGACGUUGAGGCUCGAGAGCGUGGGGAGCAAACAGG
rnacentral:rRNA from 1 species